rnacentral:rRNA from 1 species
UACGUAGGGUGCGAGAGUUAAUCGGAAUUACUGGGCGUAAAGCGUGCGCAGGCGGCUUUGCAAGACAGAUGUGAAAUCCCCGGGCUCAACCUGGGAACUGCAUUUGUGACUGCAAGGCUAGAGUACGGCAGAGGGGGAUGGAAUUCCGCGUGUAGCAGUGAAAUGCGUAGAUAUGCGGAGGAACACCAAUGGCGAAGGCAAUCCCCUGGGCCUGUACUGACGCUCAUGCACGAAAGCGUGGGGAGCAAACAGG